rnacentral:miRNA from 1 species
AGAGUUGGAGGAAAGCAAACC